UCUCCCCUCCACCAGUGCAAUCCCUGUUCGCAGCCUCUGAAGCAGAAACCCUCCUUCCUUCCGCGCCAGGGAAAGCCAAGCAGGGUUUCUUUUUGCCGUCUCAUGUUGGAGGUGGAGUUUUUCAGAACGGUAGCUCUGCCACGUCAGGUGUUUACACAAGCUCAGCAGCCAUUCUCAUGGCUGUAACAAGAAACUUUCAAGGGCAGAAAACUCUGGGACAAUUUUUUUCGCUGAGACAGAGAAGCAGAAAGAAAAAAUGGGUGGAGAGCGGGGACAAAGUGUGAGCACACUGAGGGUAUCAUGCAAAUACCUAAGGAUUUUGUGUUCCUAAAGAGCCCAGAGCCCUGGAGGCAACGCCUGCACCCUCCCUCCCUGGCUCCACUUUAAGUCACUCCUUGAUUGACCCAACAUUUCAAACAACAGACUUUGACCUCUGGAAGCCAGUCCUACAAUAUUUACAUGUCCGAGAAAUAUUUGCUCACUGAGAGAGCUCCGGGGAAUGGAAGAUGACAAAUUUUGCCAGAGGAAUUUUGUACCUGUGUACAGGGCACAGGAGCUGCUGCCUGUUUGACCUCAAGAACAGCCACAGAAGGAGGUUCAGGAGGUGAAGGCCAGCAGCUGGAGGCCAUAACCCCUGAAUGCCAGGUCCUUUGGAAGAGCAAUGGUGUCCUUCCAGGCACCAGCUUCCUCCUGUGAUAUUCAGCUGGCAUUGAUUUUCUCUCAAUAUACAUUAGAUGCUGUUUCCUUCACCA